rnacentral:lncRNA from 1 species
AUGAAAGGAUUCCAGGAUCAAAAGGGACACACCAUGUUUAUAAGCCUCAGGCCCUGUAAAACCUGGAUUUGCUCUGCUCCAUACCUUCACUCUCAGGAAAAGGGGAAUGUUUUUCAAAUGGGAAGUCAGACAGUCUACUUCACACACUUUGCUGAUAAGCUGUUUCUUCUCGGUGUGAAAGAAAUCAAAUGUAAGCAAGUCCAGGGACCUCUGAGAGGUUAGCAUACUUGCAGAGACCAGGCAGUCACAAGUAGACUGUCACCUGCGUGAAGACCAGUGCAGACUCUAACCCGCAGGCAGCUAGAAAGAGAACUUGUUCUGAGACUACCUCUGUCCCCUUGUACCUGGCACACAUGACUGAUUUCCUUCUUCCUCCCUCCCUCCCUCUCUCUUUCUUUCUUUUUUUUCUUUCCUUCCUUUUGCCAUUCCCUCGGUAUAUGGAAGUUCCCAAGCUAGAGAUUGAAUCUGAGCUGCAGCAUUCACCUGUGCCAACACCAGAUCCUGAAUCCACUGCUGGGGAUUGAGUAUGCACCUCAGCAGCAACUGGAGCCACUGCAGAGACAACACCAGAUCCUUAAACCACUGUGCCACAGCAGGAACUCCCACAUGACUGAUUUCUAAUGAAGAGGAAUCAUUGGUGAAGAGUCUAUGUAAUAUGUGUCCUACAUUUACCCUCUAAUCGUUUAAAAAACCUGGGUGCACGUGGCUUAUCCAUAUAUUUUAUUUGAAGCUCUCUUGGUUAAUUUUCCUGCUCUCUAAACAACUGAGUGAACUAAACUCACUUAAGAGUUGUCAAGGUGAACCCACUUAAUCUGGUUGACGUCUUGGUGUCUGGAUGAGAUCUACAUGGGAAGUAGUCUAUUUGGCUGCUAACCCCCCGCCCCCACCCCCUGCCGCACAUGUUUAAAAAUAUUCAUCCAUGCCCACUGUGUGCCAGGAGGGGUGCUGAAGACCAAGGAUAGAGCAAGGCAUGAUCCUGUCCCUGAUGCAGAGCACGUGAUUGUGGCAGCCAUGUCUCUUCUUAUGGUAUUAGAGGAGACCUGGCCCCGAUCGUAAGCUUCCAGCAGUGUUUCCAGAGGUGGCUGGGCUUGCUCGUUCAAAGGACAACACAUGCAGUUUCCCACCAACGCAAAUGCCCCAUUCAUUGUCUUCUGGCCCACUUAAACCUUGAUCUAUUAAUUCAUCAUGUAAAACAACAGAAAAAGUUUAAGGGAAUGAUAGUCUCAGCCGUAUUUUAAAUGCCAGCUCUCACGCGGAGUAGAAUACUUAACAGAAGUUAAUUGCUAAUAUGAAGGUCCUUAAUCACAACUACCCUUAACUGCAGCAGUUUUGCUUUGGACAGGGAUUACUGGGAAAAGUUUUGAUUCUGGUUGGAAACCAGCAAGGAAAUAGUACUUACCUUAUGUUGUCAAUUUUUUAGUGCUGGCGUGUUGGGAGUCACUGAGAUGUACUCUUUGCAUGUGCAGAAACGUUAGUUGUUUCAGACUUUACCAUGACUGGCUACAGCUAGUUGAAUAAAAUUCCUGCAGUUCAUUCA